rnacentral:piRNA from 2 species
CGCACGCCUGUAGUCCCAGCUACU